AUUGAACGCUGGCGGCAUGCCUAACACAUGCAAGUCGAACGAGGGUAGCAAUACCCUAGUGGCGGACGGGUGAGGAAUACGUAGGAAUUUGCCCUUAAGUGGGGGAUAACCCGGGUAAACCCGGACUAAUACCGCAUGAUCUCGUGAGAGCAAAGCAGGGGCCCGCAAGGCCUUGCGCUUUUGGAGAAGCCUACGUCGGAUUAGCUAGUUGGUGGGGUAAUGGCCCACCAAGGCUACGAUCCGUAACUGGUCUGAUAGGAUGAUCAGUCACACCGGAACUGAGACACGGUCCGGACUCCUACGGGAGGCAGCAGUGGGGAAUAUUGGACAAUGGGCGAAAGCCUGAUCCAGCAAUGCCGCGUGUGUGAAGAAGGCCUUCGGGUUGUAAAGCACUUUAGGCUGGAAAGAAAAAGCUUUGGCUAAUAUCCAAAGCCUUGACGGUACCAGCAGAAUAAGCACUGGCUAACUCUGUGCCAGCCGCCGCGGUAAAAC
rnacentral:rRNA from 1 species